UUUUGCUCGUGUCUGACUUACAUUUUGUCCACUUACAGCGCUGUGGCUCGGAGGAUGUGAUCUGUCAGACCGCACAAUGAAUGCUUCAAAGGAUGCUUUGGAUUUUAGGAAAUGAAGAGGAUAAUGGCGUGUCUGCUCAGAUGUUGCCAAUCAACAAACUAAAUGUCCUGGGGACAGGAAUCAGUUUAUCACCUAAUUUUAUGCUGUCACUUUCAGAAAGAUCAGACUCUCGGGUUUCAGUGAUACGUAUGAAAAAUGAAUGAGCUUCAUUGCCUUGUUGACUACCUUUGACAGCGUCCCAUAAAUCAAUCGACGGGCGGCGUCCCUGAUUGUUGAGAAGACUAACAAAAUAAUUUCUGUGUAUCUGGUUCAUAGCUGGCAUGUGCACAUUUACAGUACUUGAAUAUUAAUAAAUGACUAAUCGUAAGCAUAAA